AACGCACCUUGCACCCUCUGGUAUUCUGGAGGGUAUGCCUGUUUGAGUGUCAUUAAUCUCUCAACACGAGAAAACUUGUUUCUUGUGCUUGGAAAGUGAAGGUUUUGCUGGCGCAAAUAACUGUCAGCUCCUUUUAAAUGCAUUAGCAGAACAGUGUAGGACUGGCCUCAGUUUGAUAAGAAAUAUUUAUCUAUGCUGUCGCUAGAUUUCCUCUUUGUGUUCAGCUUCAAACUGUCUUCGGACUGUCUCUCUUGAGGCAAAAUAAUUUAUUGAUCGACCUCAAAUCAGGUAGGACUACCCGCUGAACUUAA
rnacentral:misc_RNA from 1 species